rnacentral:rRNA from 1 species
GACGAACGCUGGCGGCGUGCUUAACACAUGCAAGUCGAGCGGUAAGGCUCCUUCGGGAGUACACGAGCGGCGAACGGGUGAGUAACACGUGAGCAAUCUGCCCUUCACACGGGGAUAACCCUCGGAAACGAGAGCUAAUACCCGAUACGACCACCUCAGGCAUCUGAUGGUGGGGGAAAGUUCCGGCUGGGAAGGAUGAGGUCGCGGCCUAUCAGCUUGUUGGGGGGGUAACGGCCCACCAAGGCAACGACGGGUAGCCGGCCUGAGAGGGUGACCGGCCACACUGGGACUGAGACACGGCCCAGACUCCUACGGGAGGCAGCAGUGGGGAAUAUUGGACAAUGGGCGAAAGCCUGAUCCAGCAACGCCGCGUGAGGGAUGACGGCCUUCGGGUUGUAAACCUCUUUCAGCAGGGACGAAGCGCAAGUGACGGUACCUGCAGAAGAAGCACCGGCCAACUACGUGCCAGCAGCCGCGGUAA